rnacentral:rRNA from 1 species
UACAGAGGUCUCAAGCGUUGUUCGGAUUCAUUGGGCGUAAAGGGUGCGUAGGUGGCGCGCUAAGUCAGGUGUGAAAUCUCGGAGCUUAACUCCGAAACUGCAUUUGAUACUGGCGUGCUUGAGGACUGGAGAGGAGACUGGAAUUCACGGUGUAGCAGUGAAAUGCGUAGAUAUCGUGAGGAAGACCAGUGGCGAAGGCGGGUCUCUGGACAGUUCCUGACACUGAGGCAGCGAAGGCCAGGGGAGCAAAACGGGG